rnacentral:rRNA from 2 species
UAGCGUAAUCACUUGUUCUUUAAUUGAGGACUAGUAUGAACGGCCCCACGAGGACUACACUGUCUCCUUUUUCUAAUCAAUGAAACUGAUCUCCUCGUGAAGAAGCGAGGAUAAUUAUAUAAGACGAGAAGACCCUAUGGAGCUUUAAACAACCGGGGUACUUGCUAAUUCAUUUUAUAUCUUCUGAAAACUAAACAAAUUAAAGCAUCUUAUCACCAAGUUUUAGGUUGGGGUGACCACGGAGAAAAAAUUAACCUCCACGCUGUAAGAAAUCCACCAUCUUCUAAGCUUAGAGCCACAUUUCCAAGCAUCAACAUAUUGACUUACAUUGACCCAAUAAUUUGAUCAACGAACCAAGUUACCCUAGGGAUAACAGCGCAAUCUACUUUAAGAGCUCAUAUCGACAAGUAGGUUUACGACCUCGAUGUU